CAUCUUUGAGAAACUAUUGUAAUACUUCAGUAUUAAUGGAGCUUAAUAACUCCUCAAAGCAU
rnacentral:tRNA from 1 species